UAGCUCAAAUGGUAAAGCAUCUGCCUACAAUGCAGGAGACCCAGGUUUGAUCCCUGG
rnacentral:tRNA from 1 species